UGGGGAAUUUUGGACAAUGGGCGAAAGCCUGAUCCAGCAAUGCCGCGUGUGUGAAGAAGGCCUUCGGGUUGUAAAGCACUUUUGUCCGGAAAGAAAUCCUUGGCUCUAAUACAGUCGGGGGAUGACGGUACCGGAAGAAUAAGCACCGGCUAACUACGUGCCAGCAGCCGCGGUAAUACGUAGGGUGCAAGCGUUAAUCGGAAUUACUGGGCGUAAAGCGUGCGCAGGCGGUUUGCUAAGACCGAUGUGAAAUCCCCGGGCUCAACCUGGGAACUGCAUUGGUGACUGGCAGGCUAGAGUAUGGCAGAGGGGGGUAGAAUUCCACGUGUAGCAGUGAAAUGCGUAGAGAUGUGGGGGAAUACCGAUGGCGAAGGCAGCCCCCUGGGCCAAUACUGACGCUCAUGCACGAAAGCGUGGGGAGCAAACAGGAUUAGAUACCCUGGUAGUCCACGCCCUAAACGAUGUCAACUAGUUGUUGGGGAUUCAUUUCCUUAGUAACGUAGCUAACGCGUGAAGUUGACCGCCUGGGGGAGUACGGUCGCAAGAUUAAAACUCAAAUGAAUUGACGGGGUCAUAGCUGUUUCCU
rnacentral:rRNA from 1 species